CACGUGGGGGCCAAGCGUUGUCCGGAUUUAUUGGGCGUAAAGAGCUCGUAGGCGGUUCGACAAGUCGGGUGUGAAAACUCCGGGCUCAACCCGGAGACGCCACCCGAUACUGUCGUGACUGGAGUCCGGUAGGGGAGUGGGGAAUUCCUGGUGUAGCGGUGAAAUGCGCAGAUAUCAGGAGGAACACCGGUGGCGAAGGCGCCACUCUGGGCCGGUACUGACGCUGAGGAGCGAAAGCGUGGGUAGCGAACAGG
rnacentral:rRNA from 1 species